AUAUCGUUGAGUUUGGUGAUGGCUCUGAUUGAACGCUGUCCAAGUGCUUGACACAUGCUAAUCGAACGUUUUAAUUAAAAUUGUAUGCGCAAGCUAUAAUACAAAUUCAAUUAAAAAGUGGUGUACAGGUGAGUAUAAUUAUAUUUAGAACGCUGGCCUUAGAGUAAAGGUAAAUCCUUUAUAUAAAAAAGGAAUAAAGAUAUUCCGCUUUAAGAAGACGAUAAAUAUAUUCGAGAUAGGUAGUAGUUAAGGUUAUGGCUUAACUAGCUUAUAACUCUCGUAGUCGAAUCUGAAAGGUUGAUCGACCACAUUGGGUCUGAAAAAAGCCCAAUGCAAGUUAGUACAGCAGUGAGGAAUAUUGGUCAAUGGCCUAACGGCUGAACUGGUAACUUGGAGAAGUGUUAAGUCUUAUUGAGUUAUUAUCAUAGAA
rnacentral:ncRNA from 1 species